rnacentral:rRNA from 1 species
GCUUAGAAGCAGCCAUCCUUUAAAGAAAGCGUAACAGCUCACUGAUCAAGCGCCUCUGCGCGGAAAAUGUAUCGGGACUAAAGUUAUUCGCCGAAAUUGCGGACUCGAAAGAGUGGUAGCGGAGCGUUCCGUAAGCCUGUGAAGGUGAACCGUGAGGUUUGCUGGAGGUAUCGGAAGUGAGAAUGCUGACAUGAGUAGCGACAAACAGGGUGAGAGACCCUGUCGCCGAAAGUCCAAGGGUUCCUGCUUAAAGCUAAUCUGAGCAGGGUAAGCCGACCCCUAAGGCGAGGCCGAAAGGCGUAGUCGAUGGGAACCACGUUAAUAUUCGUGGGCCAAGGGAUGAGUGACGGAUU